AUUAUAAUUUAAUUUUUCCCUCCCUAAAAAAAUUUUCUGCCUUCGCCACUACUUUUAUCCAAACCUAAACCUUUGCUCCAUUUGUAGGCGACUAACCACUCCCUCCCCUUCGAACAAUAACUCCCUUGGGUGAUUUACUGGUUUUGAUGGCUCCUCCAGACAAAUCUCGUGGUGGAGGGCCUGAUGUUGUACAAUGUCUCCAUGGAAGUCUCCUGCUGCAGGAUGAGAGUUGGUUGUUGCGGUUACAAAUGUUGGAUGGUUCGGCAGUGCCACUGCCUCCUUAGGCAUUGGAUUUUAUUUUUUUUAUGUGUUUUAUGCUUAGUUUUUCCUUAUUUCUCUUCGUUCUUUGUUUGCUUGUAAGUAAGACUUCCUUGCAUUUGUUCUGAAUGGCCUAGGGCUUGAAUUCAGGAGAUUUUUCGCUUCCAUAAAAGAAAAGGAUUCCAUCAUUUCAUA